rnacentral:rRNA from 1 species
ACUACGGGUGGCAGCAGUGAGGAAUAUUGGUCAAUGGACGAGAGUCUGAACCAGCCAAGUAGCGUGAAGGAUGACUGCCCUAUGGGUUGUAAACUUCUUUUAUAUGGGAAUAAAAUGUUCCACGUGUGGGAUUUUGUAUGUACCAUAUGAAUAAGGAUCGGCUAACUCCGUGCCAGAAGCCGCGGUAAUACGGAGGAUCCGAGAGUUAGCCGGAUUUAUUGUGUUUAAAGGGAGCGUAGGUGGAUUUUUAAGUCAGUUGUGAAAGUUUGCGGCUCAACCGUCAAAUUGCAGUUGAAACUGGCAGUCUUGAGUACAGUAGAGGUUGGCGGAAUUCGUGGUGUAGCGGUGAAAUGCUUAGAUAUCACGAAGAACUCCGAUUGCGAAGGCAGCUCACUGGACUGCAACUGACACUGAGGCUCGAAAGUGUGGGUAUCAAACAGGAUUAGAUACCCCUGUAGUC